GCUAGUCCAUCAGAUUUUUUAUAACAAUGAAAAUAAUAUUGCCCCGAUGAUUGAAAAUUUUAUUAAGAUCAGUAAAUUCUGAACCUGGGUAAGUGGAGCGAUCGUACGAGCAACGCAUGACAUUGUGUGAACGACCUUGCGCGGGCGAUUACGUGCCGAGUGACGUGUACCGCGAUGACACACCCACCGGACCGAUCCACUUCGACCACCAAGCUCUUAGGAAACUACAAAGAAAAAUACACCUUAAGAUUCUGGUGAUAUAAACGAAAAUUGACAACAUGCAGCCACCAGCUGACUACGAUAACUUGGGCACUUAGCUGUAAUUUAUUACAUGGAGCAAAAUAAACUUUAUGUUUAUGUGGCA